UAGUUAUAAAAGGUGUUGGAAAUGCAGUGUGUUGAUUUUCAUUACGACGGAAUGAGUGCCCUGUCCAUAAAAGGGUUCAGAGAGGACCCUGAUCAUCAACUGCUCAACAGUGAGGAACAUAAAGUGCAUCACAGGUUGGACAAAACUGCUCCCACCUCAAAGGAAAUGCAAGUCCUAACCACACCUACUACCACACACCCCGCGCCAUGAGCUUGGCUUUCCAAUAGGAAAGUUCCUCCAUUCAAAGACAAACUUACUGUGCUCAGUCAGGGACUAAGGCCCCACUGGUGUAAUGGACAAGGCACAGAGUAAACCCUAGCUGCUCUUUUUCAGGUAAUAAUAAUUAUGAUAAUAAUGAUAAUAAUACCUGACAUUGAUUAGGUUCUUGUAUGUGUGAGUCACUGUGCUAAGCACAAUAAGUGAAGUAACUCCCUGAAAUUUUAUGACCCUAUGGAGUGUAUGUGAUUAUUAUCCCAGUUUACAGAUGAGAAAACUCAGCACAGAGAGGUUCGAAAGUGCCUAGUGAGGGCUUUUAUCCACUGUGGUGCCUUUGGCAAGUUGUUUCUGCUCUCUACAGCCCCAUGUCCUUACCUGUAUGCAUUGUAUUAACCUAGCCUUACACACACUGCGGUCUCCAAAAAUGUCAUCUCCCUUCCCUGCCUGGAGCCUGGGAGAGGGAUGGUGACCAGCACUCAUGAAGCAGCUUUUUUUGACAUUACUUUAUAAGGCUUUGUAAAGGUUUUAUCAGGGGAAAUGACAUGGCUUAAUUCUCUUUGCCCGGAAUCAGUUUUCUAAGGAAUAUCCAGUGGUGUUUGAAAGUGGAGAGAUAAGGGCUCCAGUGGGCAUAAUUCUGCCUCCCGCUGUGUGAGGGAUAAGGGACAGUUCACACUUCCUGGAUGGGAGCUUCUGCCAGAGCAGAGGAAGUGUCCUGGGGCCUAGCAGAGUGCUUUCCCAGGGCAUGGAGCAGAGACAGCAUGGCUGGGAAAACCAUACCUAGUAGACUAGCCUCCUUGGGAUGUGUUCAGAAAAGGAUGCUGGACCUUACCCAAUAUUUGGAAUUUCUUCCAAAUGCCUGGAGUGAGUCAAAUGAUCUGGAGUCUAGUCAGUAGAUAGUAAUGUCUGUGGAAGCACUUUGUAAACCAUAAGCCUUAUACAAAUAACAACUCAAAUUUGUUGAGAACUUACUAUACACUGGUGCUGUUCUGAGCUUCUUACAUAAUAUAACUCAUUUAGUCCCUCGACAAGGCAAGGAAUCCGGUACUACCAUAUUAUUAUCAUCAGCCACUUUAUAGAUGGAGAUGUUGAAGCAGACAGAGGUCAAAUACCUUGACCAGUCCAAGGUCACAUAGCUAGUAAGUGGGAGAGGCAGGAUUUGAACUCUUAAACUUUGUCCAAAUGACCACUUACUGCCAUUGGUGUGCAGAUGAAAAGAUACCAACCUUUAAAGUAGCACAGUCACUUUUUGACUCGCCCUAUGCCCCUUGACACAAAAUUGCUGAAUCUCUGUUUCUCCAGAAGAACUGAAUUAAUUGUCGUUCUACCUGUCUCUAGGCAAACUGUGAGAGGAAAUGAUGGAUGUAAAAAUAGUCUUAGGUAGCCUGGAAAAAGCACUAUGGGAAAGCAGACCCUUAGGUGCGAACUGUUUUGUCUGGGACUCUUUCACAGAAACCCCAGCCUGGCUUCCUCGCCCUUCUUCACUGGGUGCCAGCAUGCCUACUAUUUAGGACUGCAGCCAUUUGUUCUGCACAGGGUGGAGGGGCUGGCAAUUAAGAUGCAUUGUGCUUUAACUGUAUUGACUUUGAAAAAAGCCAAGGGAAGCUUUAGAAAUGUCCAUAUUGUUAUAUUACAAAGAGAAGAGGAAUGACUAUAGGUCUGGUGGAAUGUCUGACAGAAGUGAGGGUGAGGGACCUAGGGUAGGGGGUGCCCCUCACAGGAUGUGAGCCUGCACAGCCACACUAAGCCGCUUCCUCAGAAGGGAAAGCAAGUUGUCCUCUCCCCCUGCACCAGUGGGUCUUGUCAUCAUCCACCCUGGAUCACAGACCACUUUUUGUUCACGUGAGCCCUGUUUAACUCUAUUCCCACUGGGCCAGCCACUUUCUUGGGGGUGGUAACCCUCCUGAAACAGCCAUCAGGACACCCAGGAUGGGCUCCCUUAACUGCACUCAUAAUGUCUGACGUGCCUCUGAUGUCUUUUUCCUCUGCUUCUCUCCUUCUUUGAGUGGAAGUCAAGUCCCGCGUUAGGAAGCGGCAGGACUGGCAGCAGAAUGUCUCCAGGUCGCCAGGGUGGGGAUGCUGUUUUGGCAAAUGCAGAGGCCGCCUGGGAGCCACUGGGAAUGAUUUUAGCCCCAGGCUUCCAGAGGAUGUCUCCGGGCCAGAAGUCUGAAACCACGUGGGUUGGUGAAGUCCUACUAAGAGCCUGAAACUGGACGAGCACCGGACUGGGAUUAUGCUCAGCAACUUGGUGCUAUCAGUGACCGCAUUGAUGGUCUCACACCAGUCUUGGGAAGUUUGCAGUAUUGUUGCCAUUUGGCAGAUGGGAAAUUGGGAAUCACCUUUAAUGGCAUGCUUAAAAUGACUGCUCAGAUUCAAGGGAGGCACUCUCCAGGUCUGUGGCAGGAUGUGAAGUGGGAAGUGUUUUGUGGUCUAAAGAAGAAAGGCAGCCGGGGUGGCGUGGGCCACUGCUACUCUGGAGAGAGCAGAGGACAAGAGGAGGGAGGGACAGAGCUGGGGGGAUAAACAAAACCAUUUCCCCACCCUUCCUCACAGCUUCCCCUUCCUGCUUUGCAAGGCCCAGGGUUUCAGAUCCAUGCUUGCGGUCUGGUGUCCUGCUGUGAUCCCUGGUUUAGUCACUGCGGGUAACAUUUGGUUUGGAUUCUAUCACAUCUGCGUAGUUUGACCUUGGGCAAGUCACUUAACCACUGGGCCUCAGAUUCUUCACUUGUAACAUGGAGGGAAUACUACUUACAGCAUAAAGUUGUUGAAAAUAAA